rnacentral:rRNA from 1 species
GUCGAGAAUCUUUCACAAUGGGGGCAACCCUGAUGGAGCGACGCCGCGUGGAGGAUAAGGUCUUCGGAUUGUAAACUCCUGUCAUGCGUGAACAAGGUUGCUUGGUUAAUACCUGGGCAAAUUGAUGGUAACGCAAGAGGAAGAGACGGCUAACUCUGUGCCAGCAGCCGCGGUAAUACAGAGGUCUCAAGCGUUGUUCGGAAUCACUGGGCGUAAAGGGUGCGUAGGUGGCGUGGUAAGUCAGAUGUGAAAGCCCGGGGCUCAACAUCGGAACUGCAUCCGAUACUGCCAUGCUAGAGUACUGGAGAGGUGACUAGAAUUCUCGGUGUAGCAGUGAAAUGCGUAGAUAUCGAGAGGAAUACCAAAGGCGUAGGCAGGUCACUGGACAGUUACUGACACUGAGGCACGAAGGCCAGGGGAGCGAACGGGAUUAGAUACCCUUGUAGUCC